AGAGUUUGAUCCUGGCUCAGAUUGAACGCUGGCGGAAUGCUUUACACAUGCGAGUCGAACGGCAGCACGGACUUCGGUCUGGUGGCGAGUGGCGAACGGGUGAGUAACAUAUCGGAACGUAUCCAAUAAUGGGGGAUAACUAAUCGAAAGGUUGGCUAAUACCGCAUACGCCCUACGGGGGAAAGCUAGGGACCUUCGGGCCUGGCGUUAAUGGAGCGGCCGAUAUCUGAUUAGCUAGUUGGUGAGGUAAAGGCUCACCAAGGCGACGAUCAGUAGCUGGUCUGAGAGGACGACCAGCCACACUGGAACUGAGACACGGUCCAGACUCCUACGGGAGGCAGCAGUGGGGAAUUUUGGACAAUGGGCGCAAGCCUGAUCCAGCCAUUCCGCGUGAGUGAAGAAGGCCUUCGGGUUGUAAAGCUCUUUCGCAAGGGAAGAAAACUUAGGCUCUAACAUAGCCUGAGGUGACGGUACCUGAUAAGAG
rnacentral:rRNA from 1 species